rnacentral:rRNA from 1 species
ACCUUGCACGGGUUAUACCGUGUAAUCCCUAACUGAAUUCAUAGGUUAGGGAAGAUAACCAGGGGAAUUGAAACAUCUUAGUACCCUGAGGAACAGAAAGCAAAAGCGAUUCUCUUAGUAGCGGCGAGCGAAAGGGGAACAGCCUAAACCAGAUUGUAUGUUAAAGCUCGUGGGCGUUGUACAUCUGGGGUUGUGGGUUUUAACUGGGCGGAACUACGAAUCCGCCGGGGUGUAAGAAAAACAUGUUAUAGCUUAAGAAACUGGAAAGUUUCGCCAUAGAGGGUGAUAGCCCCGUGAGCGAAAUGGCAUGUUCACUCUGGGUCAGAUACCCGAGUACCGCGGGACACGAGAAAUCUUGUGGGAAUCUGGGAGGACCACCUCCUAAGGCUAAAUACUGUUGACGACCGAUAGUGAACUAGUACCGUGAGGGAAAGGUGAAAAGCACCCCGGUAAGGGGAGUGAAAUAGAAUAUGAAACCGCAAGCUUACAAUCAGUGGGAGCACUAUAUUUCUGCUUCGGCAGAGACAGGUGUGACCGCGUACCUUUUGCAUAAUGAGCCGUCGAGUUACUUUAUAUAGCAAGGUUAAGCCGUUAGGUGUAGCCGUAGCGAAAGCGAGUCUGAAUAGGGCGAUUAGUUAAGUGGAGUAGACCCGAAACCGGGUGAUCUAUCCAUGACCAGGGUGAAGCGAAGGUAACACUUCGUGAAGGCCCGAACCAGUAGUCGUUGAAAAGACUUUGGAUGAGUUGUGGAUAGGGGUGAAAGGCCAAUCAAACCCGGCAAUAGCUGGUUCUCCUCGAAAUAGUUUUAGGACUAGCCUUGCAUAAAAUAGCAUAUGGAGGUAGGGCUCUGGAUGGGCUAGGGGCCUCACCAGGUUACCAAACCCAACCAAUCUUCGAAUUCCAUAUGUGGUACUGCAGGAGUCAGACUAUGGGUGAUAAGGUCCAUGGUCGAAAGGGAAAGAGCCCAGAUCACCAGCUAAGGUCCCAAAGCCAUGCUAAGUGGGAAAGGCUGUGGGAAUACACAGACAAUCAGGAGGUUGGCUUAGAAGCAGCAAUCCUUUAAAGAAAGCGUAAUAGCUCACUGAUCAAGUGUACCUGCGCCGAAAAUUUAUCGGGGCUAAGCAUGGCACCGAAGCUGUGAAUUGGAAAUCAUUUCGAUGAUUUCUUCUGGUAGAGGAGCGUUCCAUACUGGGUUGAAGCUCGACCGUAAGGACGGGUGGACUGUAUGGAAGUGAGUAUGACGGCAUGAGUAACGAUAAAACAGGUGAGAAACCUGUUCGCCGAAAAUCCAAGGUUUCCUGAGGAAGGGUAAUCCUCUCAGGGUAAGUCGGCCCCUAAGACAAGGCUGAAAAGCGUAGCCGAUGGGAAACGGGUUAAUAUUCCCGUACCGGCCAAAUCGCGUUAUUAGCGAUGGGGUAACGUAGAAGGGUAGUCUAUCCGGGUGUUGGAUGUCCCGGUACAAGCAGGUAGGAGGGUGGCUUUGGCAAAUCCGGGCCGCCAUUCAACUCCGAGAUGUUAUGAGGAGCUUCUCCUUCGGGACAAGCGAACUAGAUGAUCCCAUGCUACCUAGAAAAACCUCUAGUGAGCUGUUUGGCCGACCGUACUCUAAACCAACUCAGGUGGAUGAGUAGAGAAUACUAAGGCGCUUGAGAGAACUCUGGUUAAGGAACUCGGCAAAUUGACUCCGUAACUUAGGGAUAAGGAGUGCCCCCAUUAGGUGAAAGAACUUGCUUCUGGAGCCGACGGGGGUUGCAGUGACCAGGUAGCCGCGACUGUUUACUAAAAACAUAGGACUCUGCGAAGUCGCAAGACGAAGUAUAGGGUCUGACGCCUGCCCGGUGCCGGAAGGUUAAAAGGAGGGGUUAGUCUUCGGACGAAGCUCUGAAUUGAAGCCCCGGUAAACGGCGGCCGUAACUAUAACGGUCCUAAGGUAGCGAAAUUCCUUGUCGGGUAAGUUCCGACCUGCACGAAUGGCGUAACGAUGGCUACACUGUCUCAACCAGGGACUCAGUGAAAUUGACAUACCGGUGAAGAUGCCGGUUUCCCGCGACAGGACGGAAAGACCCCGUGCACCUUUACUACAACCUGAUAUGGAAUAUCGGUUUAGUAUGUGUAGGAUAGGUGGGAGACUUUGAAACUUUGGCGCUAGCUAAGGUGGAGUCACCCUUGAAAUACCACCCUUAUUACACUGCUAUUCUAACCUCGAUCCCGUGAAUCCGGGUCAGGGACAAUGUCAGGCGGGUAGUUUGACUGGGGCGGUCGCCUCCUAAAAUGUAACGGAGGCGCGCGAAGGUUCUCUCAGGCUGAUUGGAAACCAGCCUUCGAGUGCAAAGGCAUAAGAGAGCUUGACUGCGAGACUUACAAGUCGAGCAGGUACGAAAGUAGGGCAUAGUGAUCCGGCGGUUGCGU